GUGAACGCUGGCGGUAGGCCUAACAAAUGCAAGUCGAACGGCAGCACAGUAAGAGCUUGCUCUUACGGGUGGCGAGUGGCGGACGGGUGAGGAAUACAUCGGAAUCUACUUUUUCGUGGGGGAUAACGUAGGGAAACUUACGCUAAUACCGCAUACGGCCUACGGGUGAAAGCAGGGGAUCUUCGGACCUUGCGCGAUUGAAUGAGCCGAUGUCGGAUUAGCUAGUUGGCGGGGUAAAGGCCCACCAAGGCGACGAUCCGUAGCUGGUCUGAGAGGAUGAUCAGCCACACUGGAACUGAGACACGGUCCAGACUCCUACGGGAGGCAGCAGUGGGGAAUAUUGGACAAUGGGCGCAAGCCUGAUCCAGCCAUACCGCGUGGGUGAAGAAGGCCUUCGGGUUGUAAAGCCCUUUUGUUGGGAAAGAAAAGCAGCAGGUUAAUACCCCGCUGUUCUGACGGUACCCAAAGAAUAAGCACCGGCUAACUUCGUG
rnacentral:rRNA from 1 species